UACGGGGGGGGGCAAGCGUUGUUCGGAAUUACUGGGCGUAAAGGGCUCGUAGGCGGCCAACUAAGUCGGACGUGAAAUCCCUCGGCUCAACCGGGGAACUGCGUCCGAUACUGGAUGGCUUGAAUCCGGGAGAGGGAUGCGGAAUUCCAGGUGUAGCGGUGAAAUGCGUAGAUAUCUGGAGGAACACCGGUGGCGAAGGCGGUUCUCUGGGCCGUAACUGACGCUGAGGAGCGAAAGCAUGGGGAGCGAACAGG
rnacentral:rRNA from 1 species